AUUGAACGCUGGCGGCAUGCUUUACACAUGCAAGUCGAACGGUAGCAGGCCGCAAGGUGCUGACGAGUGGCGAACGGGUGAGUAAUGCAUCGGAACGUGCCCAGUCGCGGGGGAUAACGCAGCGAAAGCUGUGCUAAUACCGCAUACGAUCUAUGGAUGAAAGCGGGGGACCGUAAGGCCUCGCGCGAUUGGAGCGGCCGAUGUCAGAUUAGGUAGUUGGUGGGGUAAAGGCUCACCAAGCCAACGAUCUGUAGCUGGUCUGAGAGGACGACCAGCCACACUGGGACUGAGACACGGCCCAGACUCCUACGGGAGGCAGCAGUGGGGAAUUUUGGACAAUGGGCGCAAGCCUGAUCCAGCAAUGCCGCGUGCAGGAAGAAGGCCUUCGGGUUGUAAACUGCUUUUGUACGGAACGAAAAGGUUUGGGUUAAUACCCUGGGCCGAUGACGGUACCGUAGGAAUAAGCACCGGCUAACUACGUGCCAGCCGCCGCUGUAA
rnacentral:rRNA from 1 species